rnacentral:rRNA from 1 species
UGCAAGUCGAGCGGACAGAUGGGAGCUUGCUCCCUGAUGUUAGCGGCGGACGGGUGAGUAACACGUGGGUAACCUGCCUGUAAGACUGGGAUAACUCCGGGAAACCGGGGCUAAUACCGGAUGGUUGUUUGAACCGCAUGGUUCAAACAUAAAAGGUGGCUUCGGCUACCACUUACAGAUGGACCCGCGGCGCAUUAGCUAGUUGGUGAGGUAACGGCUCACCAAGGCAACGAUGCGUAGCCGACCUGAGAGGGUGAUCGGCCACACUGGGACUGAGACACGGCCCAGACUCCUACGGGAGGCAGCAGUAGGGAAUCUUCCGCAAUGGACGAAAGUCUGACGGAGCAACGCCGCGUGAGUGAUGAAGGUUUUCGGAUCGUAAAGCUCUGUUGUUAGGGAAGAACAAGUACCGUUCGAAUAGGGCGGUACCUUGACGGUACCUAACCAGAAAGCCACGGCUAACUACGUGCCAGCAGCCGCGGUAAUACGUAGGUGGCAAGCGUUGUCCGGAAUUAUUGGGCGUAAAGGGCUCGCAGGCGGUUUCUUAAGUCUGAUGUGAAAGCCCCCGGCUCAACCGGGGAGGGUCAUUGGAAACUGGGGAACUUGAGUGCAGAAGAGGAGAGUGGAAUUCCACGUGUAGCGGUGAAAUGCGUAGAGAUGUGGAGGAACACCAGUGGCGAAAGCGACUCUCUGGUCUGUAACUGACGCUGAGGAGCGAAAGCGUGGGGAGCGAACAGGAUUACAUACCCUGGUAGUCCACGCCGUAAACGAUGAGUGCUAAGUGUUAGGGGGUUUCCGCCCCUUAGUGCUGCAGCUAACGCAUUAAGCACUCCGCCUGGGGAGUACGGUCGCAGGACUGAAACUCCAAGGAAUUGACCGGGGCCCGCACAAGCCGUUGGAGCAUGUGGUUUAAUUCGAAGCACGCNAG